rnacentral:rRNA from 1 species
GGCUUGGACUGGCGGUCCGCCGCAAGGUGUGUACUGUUGGUUCGGGCCUUACUUCUUGGUGAGCUCGCAUGGCCUUAACCGGCCGUGGCGGGGAACCAGGACUUUUACUGUGAAAAAAUUAGAGUGUUCAAAGCAGGCAAUCGCUUGGAUACAUUAGCAUGGAAUAAUGGAAUAGGACAAUGGUUCUAUUUGUUGGUUUCUAGGACCGUUGUA